rnacentral:lncRNA from 1 species
GCUGAAUCACAGCUUGACCAGCCCAACAAUGCCUAUAAUGAGCACUGUGUGCAUUUCCUGGGGCAUUCUGCAAGCAGCCCUCUUUCACACAGGAAAACAGAGUCAUGCAGGAAUACUAGCAGCCCCUUCAAACAGGAAGAAGAACAGACAAGCUUCACCAGCUCAGCUUUACAAAACGAAAAGCCCCAUGAGCUGGGUUCAAUCAUGACACUACAGGAGCAGAACCAAGGUCUGCAUCAAAGCUUGAUGAAGACAGCGGUGAGGAUGGAGAGUUUAGGAGAGGAAUUUAUGAGCAGUCA